GAAAUGCGAUAAGUAGUGUGAAUUGCAGAAUUCAGUGAAUCAUCGAAUCUUUGAACGCACAUUGCGCCCCCUGGUAUUCCGGGGGGCAUGCCUGUCCGAGCGUCAUUUCUGCCCUCAAGCACGGCUUGUGUGUUGGGCCCCGUCCUCCGAUCCCGGGGGACGGGCCCGAAAGGCAGCGGCGGCACCGCGUCCGGUCCUCGAGCGUAUGGGGCUUUGUCACCCGCUCUGUAGGCCCGGCCGGCGCUUGCCGAUCAACCCAAAUUUUUAUCCAGGUUGACCUCGGAUCAGGUAGGGAUACCCGCUGAACUUAAGC
rnacentral:misc_RNA from 1 species